rnacentral:rRNA from 1 species
UACAGAGGUCUCAAGCGUUGUUCGGAUUCAUUGGGCGUAAAGGGUGCGUAGGCGGCGCGGUAAGUCGGGUGUGAAAUCUCGGGGCUUAACUCCGAAACUGCAUUCGAUACUGCCGUGCUUGAGGACUGGAGAGGAGACUGGAAUUUACGGUGUAGCGGUGAAAUGCGUAGAUAUCGGGAGGAACACCAGUGGCGAAGGCGACUACCUGGCCUGUUCUUGACGCUGAGGCGCGAAAGCUAGGGGAGCAAACGGGG